AGUAAUGCCUAGGAAUCUGCCUGGUAGUGGGGGAGUAACGUUCGGAAACGGACGCUAAUACCGCAUACGUCCUACGGGAGAAAGCAGGGGACCUUCGGGCCUUGCGCUAUCAGAUGAGCCUAGGUCGGAUUAGCUAGUUGGUGAGGUAAUGGCUCACCAAGGCGACGAUCCGUAACUGGUCUGAGAGGAUGAUCAGUCACACUGGAACUGAGACACGGUCCAG
rnacentral:rRNA from 1 species